rnacentral:rRNA from 1 species
AGUGAACGCUGGCGGUAGGCCUAACACAUGCAAGUCGAACGGCAGCACAGUAAGAGCUUGCUCUUACGGGUGGCGAGUGGCGGACGGGUGAGGAAUACAUCGGAAUCUACUUUUUCGUGGGGGAUAACGUAGGGAAACUUACGCUAAUACCGCAUACCACCUACGGGUGAAAGCAGGGGAUCUUCGGACCUUGCGCGAUUGAAUGAGCCGAUGUUGGAUUAGCUAGUUGGCGGGGUAAAGGCCCACCAACGCGACGAGCCGUAGCUGGUAGGAGAGCAUGAUCCGACAGAUUGGAAGUGAGGCACGGUACAGACACUGGCAGGGAGAAACAGCGGGGAAUAUUGGAGAAUGGGGGCAAGGCUGAUACAGGACUACCGGGGGGAGGAAGAAGGAGUUCGGGUUGUAGAGUCCUUUUGUUGGGAAAGAAGAGCAGCAGGUUAAUACACCGCUAUACUGACGGUACUCAAAGAAUAAGCACCGGCUAACUUCGUG